UGACUAGAGACAUUAAGAUUAAGAGAAAAGAAUGAGAUCACAGAGGCACGCCAGUGGACUGACAGCCGUGCGGCACACUAUAUAUAAAAUUGGUCUCGUUGCCCUUUUGUUAUCAUCCAAAAAGGCUUAAACUUAAAGAAGCAUAACCACCUGGAUUGCCUCGAAAGGAACUUCUUUGGAUGGAGGCAUGGGAGAAGUCCCUCAGGUCGUGUCACCAGCUGUCACCAAGAGCGAGGCAACGAGGGCCGUGAAAUGCAGGCCAGCCUUAGUCCAAUCUGCACAUGGCCCCCUACUGCUUCCUCAGCAGAGACAACCGACGUGACAGUUCCUGAAAACUGCGAGAAGCAUGCUGAAAGAACUGUUACCUUUGUCCUGAAGGAAAAACAUCCUGAGAUCGAAUAAUUUAUACUGACAGUCACGCAAUUUGCACGCCAUUAGCUCUGGCCAUGGGCUUGUGAAUCACAAGGACCUUUCCUGCGUCUGCUCCAGCUGCAAGACAGGGUGCCCUUGCAAGAGGAGAGAUUAUGUUGAAGCUUGGCAGUCCAGAGAUGAUGAAACAGAGGAAGAUGACCCAAAUGACCAUUCAGCACUAGAAGAAUUCUCGUCAUCAACUCUCAAUCAUCUUGAGAGUCUGAAUGAUGUUCUAGCCCCAGAAGCAGAUGAGUGCAGCGUGUGAGGUUUUGCCGUUGCAGUGGAAGCCACUUCCCACGGCCGCUGACAGAGGACAUUGGUUGGGAGCAUGGAACAUUUAUAUUUUUUACCAUAAUAUGAUGUUGUGUGCCCAACAAGGGAAACAGCUCUACUGUUCAUCCUUGAGGAGAGCUCUUCAUUAAAGGAAACUGCACUGGGUUUGCGGCGGCUAAUCAACAUGGCGUGUUAGUUGUUCUGUGUCUUGUAUUAUAUUUGGUCGCUUUUAAGCACAAGUGAGCUAUCCCAAAAAAUGCUGUUUUG